UGGUUCUUGUUUGGAAGAGAUGGUAUGCUUGCUUGGCUGUGGGGGUGAUUUUCCUUGCUUUUGCUGCUUUCUUGUUUUCUUUGGAGAAAGGAUCUCCCUGAUUUGGCUUCAGGCGACCUUCUCUUGCCAAGUUCUGGUCAGCGGCGACUCUGUGUUGACAUACGCUCAAGGUUUUUUAGUUUGCUUCAAUUAGAGUUGUUGUUUAGGGGCUGGGCUCUUUUUUGGGCUUGUAUCAUUAGGUAGGGGUUUAAUAA
rnacentral:misc_RNA from 1 species